rnacentral:rRNA from 1 species
AUUGAACGCUGGCGGCAGGCCUAACACAUGCAAGUCGGGCGGUAGCACAGGGAGCUUGCUCCUGGGUGACGAGCGGCGGACGGGUGAGUAAUGUCUGGGAAACUGCCUGGUGGAGGGGGAUAACUACUGGAAACGGUAGCUAAUACCGCAUAACGUCGCAAGACCAAAGAGGGGGACCUUCGGGCCUCUUGCCAUCAGAUGUGCCCAGAUGGGAUUAGCUAGUAGGUGGGGUAACGGCUCACCUAGGCGACGAUCCCUAGCUGGUCUGAGAGGAUGACCAGCCACACUGGAACUGAGACACGGUCCAGACUCCUACGGGAGGCAGCAGUGGGGAAUAUUGCACAAUGGGCGCAAGCCUGAUGCAGCCAUGCCGCGUGUAUGAAGAAGGCCUUCGGGUUGUAAAGUACUUUCAGCGGGGAGGAAGGUGUUGAGGUUAAUAACCUCAGCAAUUGACGUUACCCGCAGAAGAAGCACCGGCUAACUCCGUGCCAGCCGCCGCAGUAACAC